AGAGUUUGAUCCUGGCUCAGGACGAACGCUGGCGGCGUGCCUAAUACAUGCAAGUAGAACGCUGAAGACUGGUGCUUGCACUAGUCAGAUGAGUUGCGAACGGGUGAGUAACGCGUAGGUAACCUACCUUAUAGCGGGGGAUAACUAUUGGAAACGAUAGCUAAUACCGCAUGACAAUUAAGUACUCAUGUACUAAAUUUAAAAGGAGCAAUUGCUUCACUAUGAGAUGGACCUGCGUUGUAUUAGCUAGUUGGUGAGGUAACGGCUCACCAAGGCCACGAUACAUAGCCGACCUGAGAGGGUGAUCGGCCACACUGGGACUGAGACACGGCCCAGACUCCUACGGGAGGCAGCAGUAGGGAAUCUUCGGCAAUGGGGGCAACCCUGACCGAGCAACGCCGCGUGAGUGGAGAAGGUUUUCGGAUCGUAAAGCUCUGUUGUUAGAGAAGAACGGUAAUGGGAGUGGAAAAUCCAUUACGUGACGGUAACUAACCAGAAAGGGACGGCUAACUACGUGCCAGCAGCCGCGGUAAUACGUAGGUCUCGAGCGUUGUCCGGAUUUAUUGGGCGUAAAGCGAGCGCAGGCGGUUAUUUAAGUCUGAAGUUAAAGGCCGUGGCUCAACCAUGGUUCGCUUUGGAAACUGGAUAACUUGAGUGCAGAAGGGGAGAGUGGAAUUCCAUGUGUAGCGGUGAAAUGCGUAGAUAUAUGGAGGAACACCGGUGGCGAAAGCGGCUCUCUGGUCUGUAACUGACGCUGAGGCUCGAAAGCGUG
rnacentral:rRNA from 1 species